UACGGAGGGAGCUAGCGUUGUUCGGAAUUACUGGGCGUAAAGCGCACGUAGGCGGCUUUGUAAGUUAGGGGUGAAAGCCCGGAGCUCAACUCCGGAAUUGCCUUUAAGACUGCAUCGCUUGAAUCCGGGAGAGGUGAGUGGAAUUCCGAGUGUAGAGGUGAAAUUCGUAGAUAUUCGGAAGAACACCAGUGGCGAAGGCGACUCACUGGACACAUAUUGACGCUGAGGUGCGAAAGCGUGGGGAGCAAACAGG
rnacentral:rRNA from 1 species